UCAAGUUUCAUCUUCUUCCCCACCCUGUCUCGGACAUUCCCAGGCAGACUGGUUUCAUUUCUCAAACUGCUCCUCCUGGUAUCGGGUUUUUCCUGUGAGCUGAAAUUUAAGUCCUUAUUUAGAGAAAGAAAACAAUCAACUUAACGCAACACCUUGUAAAUGGUAAUUUCGUUGGAUGGAGACUCCAGGGGUGGCCCAACACCAGCCCUGCAGGUGGCCCCCGGCAGAGACCCAGCCCCAGGGAGAUUAGUGUGCAGAAACAACUCAGCAAAGCUGGGGAGGUGUUGAAGAAGAGGGAGGGAGUGUUCUGAAAGAUCAAGGUUUCCGCUGCCAGGAGAAGAAAAGUUUUUAAUUCAUUUCAGGAACUGAACCAGAAUUUUUUUUCUGAUGUGACACAUUAAAAAAAAAAAAGAAAGAACAAUUGAGCUUUCAAUGCCUCAGGCGUUCAAAGAUAAAUGGGAAUGUGAGUACUGGCCACUUCAAGGGAGCUCUGCAUUUAAUAUUCCCUCUCCUAUUUGAAGAUGAUGCUCACAGGUUGACGGCCACG